rnacentral:rRNA from 1 species
AUAUGCGAUCAUACCAGCACAAAUGCACUGAAUCCCAUCAGAAUUCCCAGUCAAACGUGCUUGGCGAGAGUAGUACUAGGAUGGGUGACUUUUCGAGAAGUUCUCGAGUUGCAUUCU